rnacentral:rRNA from 1 species
GCAACGAGCGCAACCCCUAUCUUUAGUUGCCAUCAUUGAGUUGGGCGACUCUAAAGAGACUGCCGGUGUCAAACCGGAGGAAGUGGGGAUGACGUCAAGUCCUCAUGGCCUUUAUGACCAGGGCUACACACGUACUACAAUGGCCGGUACAAAGGGCAGCGACACAGCGAUGUGAAGCGAAUCCCGAAAAGCCGGUCUCAGUCCGGAUUGGAGUCUGCAACUCGACUCCAUGAAGUUGGAAUCGCUAGUAAUCGCGGAUCAGCACGCCGCGGUGAAUACGUUCCCGGGCCUU